CAUAAGAUCUGGUAACCUUGGGAACUGAGGUAAUACCGGAUAGGCGAAAACUUCUGGAAAAAGUUUUCUUUUAAAGGUAACGCCUAAGGAUGAGUUGGCGGUUGAUUAGGUAGUUGGUGGUGUAAAGGACCACCAAGCCGAAGAUCAAUAGGGGCCUUGAAAGAGGUAUCCUCGAGAAGGGCACUGAGAUACGGGCCCUAGCCCUACGGGAUGCAGCAGGCGCGAAAACUUUACACUACACGAAAGUGUGAUAAGGGAAUCCUAAGUGCUUUGCUUUUGCAAAGCUUUUUUCAAGAGUAAAUAUCUUGGAGAAUAAGUGGUGGGCAAGACUGGUGCCAGCCGCCGCGGUAACACCAGCGCCACAAGUGGGAACCAUAAUUAUUGGGCCUAAAGCGUCCGUAGCCUGUUUUGAAAAUCUUCUGUGAAAUCGUUAAGCUUAACUUAACGGAUUGCAGAAGAGACUUCAAAACUUGGGACCGGAAGGAGUCAGAAGUAUUUCUGGGGGAGCGGUAAAAUGUUAUAAUCCCAGAAAGACUACCUGUGGCGAAGGCGUCUGACUAGUACGGUUCCGACGGUGAGGGACGAAAGCUAGGGGAGCAAACCGGAUUAGAUACCCGAGUAGUCCUAGCUGUAAACGCUGCGAGCAAGGUGUCACAUAUUCCUAGAGAAUAUGUUGUGUCGAAACGAAGGUGAUAAGCUCGCCGCCUGGGGAGUAUGGUCGCAAGACUGAAACUUAAAGGAAUUGGCGGGGGAGCAC
rnacentral:rRNA from 1 species